rnacentral:lncRNA from 1 species
UUGAAUCUCAAAAAUGCAAAAUUCAACAGUAUUCGAAAUCAACAUUGUUCGAAAUUUCAACAAAACAAUAGCGAAAUCAAACCUCUAGAUCUCUAGAUCUCCAAACCUAGAUUACAAUUUUCAGCAAAUAUUCAGAAGUUUAGCUCCGAAAUCAAAAUCAAACGAACAACGAAAUCAAAAUCUGAAGAGAACAACAAAAUUAAAAUCUGAAUCAACAUCUUCAAUCUGUU